GCCUUGCGCGCACGGCGGUACGGCUCAGUAACACGUCGGCAACCUACCCUCGGGAGGGGGAUAACCCCGGGAAACCGGGGCUAAUCCCCCAUAGGCCUGAGGUACUGGAAGGUCCUCAGGCCGAAAGGGGCUCUGCCCGCCCGAGGAUGGGCCGGCGGCCGAUUAGGUAGUUGGUGGGGUAACGGCCCACCAAGCCGAAGAUCGGUACGGGCCAUGAGAGUGGGAGCCCGGAGAUGGACACUGAGACACGGGUCCAGGCCCUACGGGGCGCAGCAGACGCGAAACCUCCGCAAUGCGGGCAACCGCGACGGGGGGACCCCCAGUGCCGUGGCAUCGCCACGGCUUUUCCGGAGUGUAAAGAGCUCCGGGAAUAAGGGCUGGGCAAGGCCGGUGGCAGCCGCCGCGGUAAUACCGGCGGCCCGAGUGGUGGCCGCUAUUAUUGGGCCUAAAGCGUCCGUAGCCGGGCNANUAAGUCCCUGGCGAAAUCCCACGGCUCAGCCGUGGNGCUUGCUGGGGAUACUGCUGGCCUUNGNACCGGG
rnacentral:rRNA from 1 species